CAGCCGCCGCGGUAAGACAGAGGAUGCGAGCGUUAUCCGGAAUGAUUGGGCGUAAAGGGCUCGCAGGCGGUUUCUUAAGUCUGAUGUGAAAGCCCCCGGCUCAACCGGGGAGGGUCAUUGGAAACUGGGAAACUUGAGUGCAGAAGAGGAGAGUGGAAUUCCACGUGUAGCGGUGAAAUGCGUAGAGAUGUGGAGGAACACCAGUGGCGAAGGCGACUCUCUGGUCUGUAACUGACGCUGAGGAGCGAAAGCGUGGGGAGCGAACAGGAUUAGAUACCCCAGUAGUCCCUGUCUCUUAUAC
rnacentral:rRNA from 1 species